rnacentral:rRNA from 1 species
UACGAAGGGGGCUAGCGUUGCUCGGAAUCACUGGGCGUAAAGGGUGCGUAGGCGGGUCUUUAAGUCCGGGGUGAAAUCCUGGAGCUCAACUCCAGAACUGCCUUUGAUACUGAGGAUCUUGAGUUCGGGAGAGGUGAGUGGAACUGCGAGUGUAGAGGUGAAAUUCGUAGAUAUUCGCAAGAACACCAGUGGCGAAGGCGGCUCACUGGCCCGAUACUGACGCUGAGGCACGAAAGCUAGGGGAGCAAACGGG